ensembl:lncRNA
CAAGGAUGGGCUGUGGGCACAGCGGGUGCUGACGGCGGAUUGGUGUACAUUUCGCCCCCCAGCUGUGCUGCGUCACCGCCCACAUCUCCUGCUGGGGGCUGCGCGCUGUGACAGCGCAGGGAGCUCCAUGGGCGGAGCGCUGCACGCAGAGCCCCAGCUCAGGUGUGAGGGGUCAGCGCUCACUGAGCCCCGUGAGGGGCUGCGAUGCGGCCCCAGCCUAUUUGUAGACAUUGCAAAUAAAGCUGACAGCACUGACAGAGAACAACCUGAGGACACCGCCUGCAGGGAGACCCCACCGCAGCUGCAGGCUCUGAAGUUGUUCAAUAAAUUCCUGGAGGCGGCUCGAGGAAGAAGAACAAGAUUUGCGUAUGAGGACAGGAGGACUUUUCUAAGUGACUGCGACUACAUGAGGAGGACGAUGCCCCAUUUCCUGCCAUCUCUGCCCUGUGUUGGCUCCUCCCGUCCGGCCAAAUUGCAGCCAUCCCUCACUCCCCGGGCCCUGGGACAGGGAGAUGGAGGGCAGAGUCACGCGUUGUUAACCCCCACUUUCCUGCGCUGCCGGUGAUUCAUGGUGAGCAGUGAGGCAUGAGGACAGCGGGGCGAGGAAUGAGGAGCAUCAGCGCUCCGGCCCGGCCCAGGGCUGUUUCAUACGGCCUUGUGAAGGAGGGCAGCACUUACCGGGUGAAAAAGCAGAGGACGUUGGGUUGUCUUUAUUUUAUGUCUUGGUUCUUAAAGAGGAAAAAUGUCUCCAUUCCGGCUCAGGCUGCUCGGAAGUGCAGCAGCACUCAGCACAGAGCAGCAGUGCUGUGCAAGAGGGCAGAGCACAGGGAUGUGCCUGGGUCAGCUGUGAGACUUCAGCUGCUUUUUGUCAUCACAGAGACACGAAGGUUGGAGGAGAGCACUCAGAUCAGCACUGCCAGCCCAUCCCCGGCCGUGCACACUGCCCACGUCCCGCAGCGUCACUCGGAAGGUUUCCUUUUUGUUCCAUGGAUCCGUUCAGUUCCCUGCUUUGUUUUUAAAGAGAAAAAAAAAGAGAAAAUCCUGUCAUUAAUAAAUAAAUAAAUAACAAGAAUAAAAAGCCUC